rnacentral:SRP_RNA from 1 species
GCCGAGUUGGGUAACUUCAACUUGUAACCCAAGUGGGGGCAUGAAGGUGAUGGAACAUGGCUUAAGAUUUGCCAGGUUGGGUUGGUGGCUGCACCAUGCUGGCCUGCCCACUCCAAGUUGAGAGUUGGCCAAUGUGACCUAGGCGAAGGCUUGAGUCUCCUUGGUCCUAGACUGGAGGGCACUGUGUGAGGCUGGUUUCACAGAGCAGCAAACACCUCCGUCUCUUGACAGUGGAGGGAUAACUGGCCGCUGCACUUCUAGUCCAAUAUGCCUGGUGAGCCUAGCCACCUGAACCACCACUUUUUU